rnacentral:tRNA from 1 species
GGAGGGGUUCCUGAGUGGCCAAAGGGAGCAGACUGUAAAUCUGCCGGCACUGCCUUCGAUGGUUCGAAUCCGUCUCCUCCACCA